rnacentral:ncRNA from 18 species
UCCACAUAAAAGGGGAGCUUUUCGGCUGAGAGGAAGUUUGACUUCGACCCAUUGACCGUAUGCGGGUAAUGCCGUAACGGGAUUUUGGAAACGGCUCUCU